UACGUAGGGGGCAAGCGUUGUCCGGAUUUAUUGGGCGUAAAGAGCGUGUAGGCGGCCAAGUAAGUCUGCUGUGAAAACUCGAGGCUUAACCUCGAGCUGUCGGCGGAAACUAUUUGGCUAGAGUCCGGAAGAGGAGAAUGGAAUUCCUGGUGUAGCGGUGAAAUGCGCAGAUAUCAGGAAGAACACCCGUGGCGAAGGCGGUUCUCUGGGACGGUACUGACGCUGAGACGCGAAAGCGUGGGGAGCGAACAGG
rnacentral:rRNA from 1 species